UGCUCUCAUGAAUGUAAGUCGCUUUGGAUAAAAGCCACUACUAAAUGACAAAUA
rfam:Salmo salar isolate Sally breed double haploid chromosome ssa21, whole genome shotgun sequence.